rnacentral:tRNA from 1 species
GCCCGGGUGGUGAAAUUGGUAGACACGCGAGACUUAAAAUCUCGUUCCCACUAGGGAGUGCCGGUUCGACCCCGGCCCCGGGCACCA